UACGGGGGGGGUAAGCGUUGUUCGGAAUUACUGGGCGUAAAGGGCUCGUAGGCGGCCAACUAAGUCAGACGUGAAAUCCCUCAGCUUAACUGGGGAACUGCGUCUGAUACUGGAUGGCUUGGAUUCGGGAGAGGAAUGCGGAAUUCCAGGUGUAGCGGUGAAAUGCGUAGAUAUCUGGAGGAAUACCGGUGGCGAAGGCGGCAUCCUGGACCGGCAUUGACGCUGAUGAGCGAAAGCUAGGGGAGCAAACGGG
rnacentral:rRNA from 1 species